AUUCAUUCAAGAAAUCAAACGCGAGACAUGUGUUAAGUUUCUAACGAGUGCGAAUGGCGUAAUGUAAUAUCGCGAGUCGAAAGCGGUUAACUGGAUAUUCGAAAUAAACAGAAUUGAUGGAGGAAUUUAUAUGGCACGAUUAUUUUUUUAACGCAACGUAUAUCUUUAAUUUUUAAUAUAGAUAAUAAAGAUGAAUAAAAAAUAAUUAGAUGUAAAUGGUUGAAAAUCAGAUUAUGGAACCUAAAAUAGAGAACAAAUCGAAGUUCACACGA